rnacentral:rRNA from 1 species
UCGAGAAUCAUUCGCAAUGGGCGAAAGCCUGACGAUGCGACGCCGUGUGAGUGAAGAAGGCCUUCGGGUUGUAAAGCUCUUUCGCCUGGGAACAAGAAAGGCUAUCGAAUAAAUGGCCAAUUUGAGCGUACUAGGUAAAGAAGCACCGGCUAACUCCGUGCCAGCAGCUGCGGUAAUACGGAGGGUGCAAGCAUUAAUCGGAUUUAUUGGGCGUAAAGGGCGCGUAGGUGGGAAAGAAAGUCAGAUGUGAAAUCCCGGAGCUCAACUCCGGAACUGCAUCUGAAACUCCUUUUCUUGAGGGUAGGCGGAGAAAAUAGAAUUCCACAAGUAGCGGUGAAAUGCGUAGAUAUGUGGAAGAAUACCGGUGGCGAAGGCGAUUUUCUAGCUUAUUCCUGACACUGAGGCGCGAAAGCAAGGGGAUCAAACAGGAUUAGAUACCCCCGUAGUCC